UACCAUCUCUUUCGUUUGCGUAUAGUUUGCGUCGUGUUUGCAUUUUUCCGUCGCCAUUUCGUACGUAUUUUUGUUAGUUGCCUCCCGUCAAGUUGGUUCUUUAUUUUAUGUUCCGGCCUCGGCACGUGCGUUUGUUUGCUCGGACAGCUGGAGCGUAAGAUGUCUCACGUCCUUGCGAAGUGAGUUGACGAUAACAAGUGGGACGUGUAUCCCGUGAAUGCUUUGGCCGACACGGAUGUGGCCUUCCGUCUCAUAUCGCAGCAGGGGUCAAUUAAAGAAGUAUUCAACUCAUCAGUUGGAAAGAAGGAGCGCCACCGGACCCGGCAGUACUCCUUGCCUUCGAUAUCAACCCAUGCAGCACCUGUACUGUUCAGGUAAAGGCACUUCAAGAAGAAAAUCGGGAAUUAAAAGAUGAAGUGGAACAUAUGAAGCGGAUGGCAGAAAAACACGAUUACAUUUAUGAAGCACCCAAAUUAGUCAAAACGACCUAAAACGGCACUUGGCAAGGUUGUAAAUCAAGCCAAACAAACAGUUGGACCUUUUGUUGCUUGCCCAAAGGUGGACAUUGGGGCCGGUGUGAGUGUUGAACAAGGCACCCUAGAGAAGCUAUGCUGAGCAUGCGAAAGUGGCCUUGGCAAAUUUGCCAGGGCUCUUUUGUGGAAUGUAUUCACCCCUGAGGAGCUACGGGACGAACCGCUCCUGGGUGAGAAGAGCAACUUGCACUUAAACCAGCCAUUCAAGGAGGCCUUGGACCCUAUUCGUAUCCGAGCUGUGAUUGACUACACAUGCUCCAAGUUUCCCUCUGCCAGCCUCUCCUACAUAAAGAACAUCAUCUCCCCAGUACUGGCAAGAGAAAUGAAAGAGCCUGAAGCUCAAUAAAUUUGUGGCCUAUUGUAUAAAAGGAAUGAUUCACAUGCUUUUUGUUAAUCACGAAGUUGUUUCUUUUCAUAACACCACAGGGAAAGAGGCCUUGCAAUGGAAAGCUAGAAAAUGCACCUUGAAGAUGUCCCGAGGCCAAGCCAUGCCUCAAUGGCGAAUAUCAACAUUAGUUAAUUUCAUGUUGCAUUGCACCUUACAAUCCAUAAAUUUAAUA